ensembl:lncRNA
AAUGCUGUAUUAUUGCAGUUUAGGCUGAAUAUUGUUGUUUAGGCUGAAUAUUGUUGUUUAGGCUGAAUACUGUAGUUUAGGCUGAAUACUGUAGUUUAGGCUGAAUAUUAUAGUUUAGGGUGAAUAUUGUUGUUUAGGCUGAAUACUGUAGUUUAGGCUGAAUACUGUAGUUUAGGCUGAAUAUUAUAGUUUACGGUGAAUACUAUAGUUUAGGCUGAAUACUGUGGUUUAGGGUUAAUACUGUAGUUUAGGCUGAAUAUUAUAGUUUACGGUGAAUACUAUAGUUUAGGCUGAAUACUGUGGUUUAGGGUUAAUACU